GGUUAAGCGACUAAGCGUACACGGUGGAUGCCCUGGCAGUCAGAGGCGAUGAAGGACGUGCUAAUCUGCGAAAAGCGUCGGUAAGGUGAUAUGAACCGUUAUAACCGGCGAUGUCCGAAUGGGGAAACCCAGUGCAAUUCGUUGCACUAUCGUUAACUGAAUACAUAGGUUAACGAGGCGAACCGGGGGAACUGAAACAUCUAAGUACCCCGAGGAAAAGAAAUCAACCGAGAUUCCCCCAGUAGCGGCGAGCGAACGGGGAGCAGCCCGGAGUCUGAAUCAGCUUGUGUGUUAGUGGAAGCGUCUGGAAAGUCGCAGGGUACAGGGUGAUACUCCCGUACACUAAAACACACAGGCUGUGAACUCGAAGAGUAGGGCGGGACACGUGGUAUCCUGUCUGAAUAUGGGGGGACCAUCCUCCAAGGCUAAAUACUCCUGACUGACCGAUAGUGAACCAGUACCGUGAGGGAAAGGCGAAAAGAACCCCGGCGAGGGGAGUGAAAAAGAACCUGAAACCGUGUACGUACAAGCAGUAGGAGCCCCACCACCAAAGCGUUUCGCUUUGCGUGGUGCGCAAAAUGCGUAACGACAGCAUGAUGGACGGUUAACGGAGCGUCAGCGACGUUCAACCUCAAAAAUCAGGCAGUGGAGCGUUUUGGGGUGGGGUGACUGCGUACCUUUUGUAUAAUGGGUCAGCGACUUAUAUUCUGUAGCAAGGUUAACCGAAUAGGGGAGCCGCAGGGAAACCGAGUCUUAACUGGGCGUUAAGUUGCAGGGUAUAGACCCGAAACCCGGUGAUCUAGCCAUGGGCAGGUUGAAGGUUGGGUAACACUAACUGGAGGACCGAACCGACUAAUGUUGAAAAAUUAGCGGAUGACUUGUGGCUGGGGGUGAAAGGCCAAUCAAACCGGGAGAUAGCUGGUUCUCCCCGAAAGCUAUUUAGGUAGCGCCUCGUGAACUCAUCUUCGGGGGUAGAGCACUGUUUCGGCUAGGGGGUCAUCCCGACUUACCAACCCGAUGCAAACUACGAAUACCGAAGAAUGUUAUCACGGGAGACACACGGCGGGUGCUAACGUCCGUCGUGAAGAGGGAAACAACCCAGACCGCCAGCUAAGGUCCCAAAGUCAUGGUUAAGUGGGAAACGAUGUGGGAAGGCCCAGACAGCCAGGAUGUUGGCUUAGAAGCAGCCAUCAUUUAAAGAAAGCGUAAUAGCUCACUGGUCGAGUCGGCCUGCGCGGAAGAUGUAACGGGGCUAAACCAUGCACCGAAGCUGCGGCAGCGACACUAUGUGUUGUUGGGUAGGGGAGCGUUCUGUAAGCCGUUGAAGGUGGCCUGUGAGGGUUGCUGGAGGUAUCAGAAGUGCGAAUGCUGACAUAAGUAACGAUAAUGCGGGUGAAAAACCCGCACGCCGGAAGACCAAGGGUUCCUGUCCAACGUUAAUCGGGGCAGGGUGAGUCGACCCCUAAGGCGAGGCCGAAAGGCGUAGUCGAUGGGAAACAGGUUAAUAUUCCUGUACUUGGUGUUACUGCGAAGGGGGGACGGAGAAGGCUAUGUUGGCCGGGCGACGGUUGUCCCGGUUUAAGCAUGUAGGCGGAUGUUCCAGGUAAAUCCGGAACGUUACUAACGCUGAGGUGUGAUGACGAGGCACUACGGUGCUGAAGUGACAAAUGCCCUGCUUCCAGGAAAAGCCUCUAAGCAUCAGGUAACAUCAAAUCGUACCCCAAACCGACACAGGUGGUCAGGUAGAGAAUACCAAGGCGCUUGAGAGAACUCGGGUGAAGGAACUAGGCAAAAUGGUGCCGUAACUUCGGGAGAAGGCACGCUGAUGGUAGGUGAAGUGACUUGCUCAUGGAGCUGAAAUCAGUCGAAGAUACCAGCUGGCUGCAACUGUUUAUUAAAAACACAGCACUGUGCAAACACGAAAGUGGACGUAUACGGUGUGACGCCUGCCCGGUGCCGGAAGGUUAAUUGAUGGGGUUAUCCUCGCGGAGAAGCUCUUGAUCGAAGCCCCGGUAAACGGCGGCCGUAACUAUAACGGUCCUAAGGUAGCGAAAUUCCUUGUCGGGUAAGUUCCGACCUGCACGAAUGGCGUAAUGAUGGCCAGGCUGUCUCCACCCGAGACUCAGUGAAAUUGAACUCGCUGUGAAGAUGCAGUGUACCCGCGGCAAGACGGAAAGACCCCGUGAACCUUUACUAUAGCUUGACACUGAACACUGGUCCUUGAUGUGUAGGAUAGGUGGGAGGCUUUGAAGUGUGGACGCCAGUCUGCAUGGAGCCAUCCUUGAAAUACCACCCUUUAAUGGCUGGUGUUCUAACGUGGGCCCGUGAUCCGGGUUGCGGACAGUGUCUGGUGGGUAGUUUGACUGGGGCGGUCUCCUCCUAAAGAGUAACGGAGGAGCACGAAGGUCAGCUAAUCCUGGUCGGACAUCAGGAGGUUAGUGCAAUGGCAUAAGCUGGCUUGACUGCGAGCGUGACGGCGCGAGCAGGUGCGAAAGCAGGUCAUAGUGAUCCGGUGGUUCUGAAUGGAAGGGCCAUCGCUCAACGGAUAAAAGGUACUCCGGGGAUAACAGGCUGAUACCGCCCAAGAGUUCAUAUCGACGGCGGUGUUUGGCACCUCGAUGUCGGCUCAUCACAUCCUGGGGCUGAAGUAGGUCCCAAGGGUAUGGCUGUUCGCCAUUUAAAGUGGUACGCGAGCUGGGUUUAGAACGUCGUGAGACAGUUCGGUCCCUAUCUGCCGUGGGCGCUGGAGAAUUGAGGGGGGCUGCUCCUAGUACGAGAGGACCGGAGUGGACGCAUCACUGGUGUUCGGGUUGUCAUGCCAAUGGCAUUGCCCGGUAGCUAAAUGCGGAAGAGAUAAGUGCUGAAAGCAUCUAAGCACGAAACUUGCCCCGAGAUGAGUUCUCCCUGACUCCUUGAGAGUCCUGAAGGAACGUUGAAGACGACGACGUUGAUAGGCCGGGUGUGUAAGCGCAGCGAUGCGUUGAGCUAACCGGUACUAAUGAACCGUGAGGCUUAACCUU
rnacentral:rRNA from 1 species